CGGCAGCACGAGAGAGCUUGCUCUCUUGGUGGCGAGUGGCGGACGGGUGAGUAAUAUAUCGGAACGUGCCCAGUAGCGGGGGAUAACUACUCGAAAGAGUGGCUAAUACCGCAUACGCCCUACGGGGGAAAGGGGGGGAUUCUUCGGAACCUCUCACUAUUGGAGCGGCCGAUAUCGGAUUAGCUAGUUGGUGGGGUAAAGGCUCACCAAGGCAACGAUCCGUAGCUGGUUUGAGAGGACGACCAGCCACACUGGGACUGAGACACGGCCCAGACUCCUACGGGAGGCAGCAGUGGGGAAUUUUGGACAAUGGGGGAAACCCUGAUCCAGCCAUCCCGCGUGUAUGAUGAAGGCCUUCGGGUUGUAAAGUACUUUUGGCAGAGAAGAAAAGGUAUCUCCUAAUACGAGAUACUGCUGACGGUAUCUGCAGAAUAAGCACCGGCUAACUACGUGCCAGCAGCCGCGGUAAUACGUAGGGUGCAAGCGUUAAUCGGAAUUACUGGGCGUAAAGCGUGUGUAGGCGGUUCGGAAAGAAAGAUGUGAAAUCCCAGGGCUCAACCUUGGAACUGCAUUUUUAACUGCCGAGCUAGAGUAUGUCAGAGGGGGGUAGAAUUCCACGUGUAGCAGUGAAAUGCGUAGAUAUGUGGAGGAAUACCGAUGGCGAAGGCAGCCCCCUGGGAUAAUACUGACGCUCAGACACGAAAGCGUGGGGAGCAAACAGGAUUAGAUACCCUGGUAGUCCACGCCCUAAACGAUGUCAACUAGCUGUUGGGGCCGUUAGGCCUUAGUAGCGCAGCUAACGCGUGAAGUUGACCGCCUGGGGAGUACGGUCGCAAGAUUAAAACUCAAAGGAAUUGACGGGGACCCGCACAAGCGGUGGAUGAUGUGGAUUAAUUCGAUGCAACGCGAAAAACCUUACCUACCCUUGACAUGUCUGGAAUCCCGAAGAGAUUUGGGAGUGCUCGCAGAGAACCGGAACACAGGUGCUGCAUGGCCUGUCGUCAGCUC
rnacentral:rRNA from 1 species